rnacentral:rRNA from 1 species
GACGUAGGGCGCGAGCGUUGUCCGGAUUUAUUGGGCGUAAAGAGCUCGUAGGCGGUUUGUCGCGUCGUCCGUGAAAACUUGGGGCUCAACCCCAAGCUUGCGGGCGAUACGGGCAGACUUGAGUACUGCAGGGGAGACUGGAAUUCCUGGUGUAGCGGUGAAAUGCGCAGAUAUCAGGAGGAACACCCGUGGCUAAGGCGGCUCUCUAGUACGGUACUGACGCUGAGACGCGAAAGCGUGGGGAGCGAACAGG